UUGUGUUUGGUGUUGGUGAACAGCCUUUUAAGACAUGAUAUACCAUUGAAUAUGAUGAUUUGCUGUUGAGUUUUCUUCAUUUUCUACAGUAAUAAAUAGUGCAUAUUCCUUUGAAAUAUCUCUCUGUAAUUAUGUUUAAUUCUUCUAUAUUUUAAAAGAAAUGCAAAAUUUUGUCACGAGAAUAUUUUGCAUAUUAUGUAUAACUUCUUCUUUUUUGCUUGUUAUUGAUAAUGUUAAACUUGAUAAAAGUACCAACAAGGGUGAAACUGGAUGACCCAUAAAUAAGUAGAUUGAAACAACAGACACAUAGUAGGCUUGGAUGAGCCUUAUGACCAUAUAUACCAGUAAAAUGUUCUAAAUAAACGGCAGAAUUUCCAUCAUAUUUAUGAAAAGAUGUUUUUUUUAUAAAAAACUAGGUAUCAUGUUCCUUCGUCCAAUAAUCAAAAUAAUUAGUAGUGUGGUCCCUAUUCUUCAAAUCAUAUUAUCUAACAGAGUAACGCAUGAGAUGAAUAUAAAAUAGCAUCCACAUAAACCUCACUUAGAAUGCUUGAAGUUCCAGUAUAUACUUUUCCUGCGUCUCCCAUUCCUUUUGGUGCGUAUACUUUAUGCUUGUGACAUCCACUUCAUGAGCUAUUCUCUUGGACAGCUCCUGCACCGGGACAAAACAAGCAUUUCAAAAAAAGGGCUGUAGCUUAUGGAAUGGCAUUACUUUUUGGCAGAUAGAAAUAACUUGCCCCAGUGUCCUGUUUCUAGUAGAUACAUGUUCAAGGACAAGAAGAUUGCAUGCCAACAGAAACUAAUAGAACAACAGUGACACUGAAUACCACAAUCACCAAAUAUAGCUUUUAGUUAUCAAAUUGGUUCUUCCUCCAAAAAAACCAAAGAAAAAGAAAAAGCGAAAAGGCCACCAUUGUUCCCCAGUCACCCAACUGCUGCAUCAGAUGGCAUUUGCAGAGGCUGGGAAAAUAAGCACAAGCUUUAUGGUAAUCAAGGGAGGGGAAGAGAGAGAGAGCCAAGUUUUUUACCAGCUCCACUGUCAACUAAAGCACAAAAUUUGAUGGAGCUUUUAAUAUAGCCAACUAACCAAAACUAGAUUGAAGGUUCCAAUAUCAUCUGUUCUUCAGCCUCAAGCUUUGGUAGCUCAUUGAGGUCAAUGUCAAGCAACCCUUUGUUUGCCUCCUUAACACUCUCAGAUGAUGAUGGUGCAGGCGAGGGUGCCGGCGUCGACGGUGCAGCCGGCAAAAGUGGAGGAUGAUUCACAGGGCCAUUCCAGUGCCUCCUCAUGUGCCCACCAAGAGCCUGCCCUGUCGGGAACGAGGCAUGACAAAGGGUGCAUUGAUGCUCUGCGGUCGCAGCUCUCGGCACCGCACCCUUUGAAUCGACCAGCUCUUCGGCAUCGGCUUCCAUCCCAUCCAUGGCCACCACCUCCUCUGAAUUGUUCUUGUUCUUGUUGUGACUAGCUCUGUGACCCCCCAGUGCUUGGUGGGUAGAGAAAGACCUGUUGCAGCUGCUGCAGUGGUACCUUCUACCUCGAGUUGGUGGGCUUGCUUCGUUCGCCGCCGAUUCCAGAUCCUUGAUCCUCUUCUUCUUCACUUUUCUUCCGCAUGCCGACGGGCUGCUUGAUGCUUCUACGUUUCCAUCAUUGCCAGCCUCCAUUUCAUCAUCUUCAUUCCCAUUCAUAAGUUCAGAAUGCAUGGCAUCCUUCAGCUGCAGUCCUUUAGCCUUUGUGUCUUCCUCAUCCAUCUCAAUUCUGAUAUCAGCCAGUAUGGAUUUCCUGUUCCUAUGUCGAAGCCGAUCAAUUUCUCGCGGUAGAGUUGGUGUAGGCGCGAGAUCGUUGCCCCUCGAUAGCUGCAGCAGAAUCCUAGCCGCAUUGGAUUCAGGGUCGUUCGACUCGAUGAUACCUUUGCGACCUCUCUUCGCAGUCACCGACCACUUUGCAGCAGGAAACGCGAGGUCAGAUGAGGAAUCGAUGCCUCUUUGGAGCUUGUUCUUCGCUUCAGGUGGCCGAUUCGCUCCCCGGUAGCCCCUCUGAGGAUGGGAUCUCAGGUGACCAUAUAAUGCUUUCAAUGAAGGGAAGGUCUUCUUACACUCAGGACAAGUAGGAGGCUCCUCGGCGGCCAUGUUCGCAUCUUCAUUCUUGCUCUCGGAGCUCGCAGGGUCCUCGGCGACAGCUUUUUCUGGGACGUUCUCUUCUUCCAUUUUCGCAAGAAAUCCAUCAUCAUCUCCACGAUGGUGGUCUGGCGAUUCGAUAUGUUUAUCUCGAUCAUCUGCGAGCUCUCCAUUGGAGAUACGGUGAGCUCUCAUAUCACCAUCAGAAGCUCCUUCUAAGCUCCAAUCAGAGGAGAGCGCUCCACGAGCCACUUCCUCAUUCAGCUCGCAAGCCUUCUGACACUUGAAUCGAAUCCGAAGCCCGUUCUUCGCUAGCUUUUGUUUCGCGGCGACGGAUCCAUCUUCUGGCCCCAAUGCAGCAGCUUCACUCUGGUAAUAACUUCCCCCAUCCAUGGGAUGAGCUCCCAUUACUAGAGAACAGAAGAGCUGCUAAUCUAAUCUCUCGAGCAAGUCAAGGUAUGUGAACCGAAACAAAUCGAAAGCUUUAUCCCAGAAAACCUAACUCGCUCUUGAUUACAGGUAGCUUCCUCCUCUCUCUCCCUAUCAGUUUCCAAUAGCCCAAGAAACCACCACGAAUCCGAAAACAGGGCUUCUUAGAGAAGUUCUGCGGACAAUAAAUACAAUAAAAACUCCAUCUUUAGCGAUCGGCAAAACUGAAAACGAGCUUCUGAAAGAUCAUCCCGAGAGCUCAUCGUAUUCCCCUGGGACUUCAAAGGAAGAAUUCAAAACAGCAGCAACCGAGCUGAAGAAGGUCCGGAUUCCAGCUGAAACAGAGAAAAAGAAGCCACCUUUUAGUAUAAUCAAUUAUCGAAAUCAACAUGCAAAGAAACCAUCAAUUAAUCCGAGGAAAAAAAAAACGAUGGUGGAGAUUACCGGAUGAGCUCAGAACCGUCUGCAAAGAGAGGAAACGAGUGACACCCAGUAGAUUUCCCCAACCCCCCAGCUCAACGGAGCUAGCUUCCCACUAGAUUAGAUCCAGAAGGGAAUAGUUCGGAUGGAGGAGACUGAAAAGAGAUCGAAAGAGAGCAAAAACCGCCACCUAGAUUGGAAAAGACAGCUCCUUUGCUCCGAAGAAAGCGAGAUGGAUCGAAAAAAAAAGCUCGAACUUUUUCGGGCUUUUCCCCACCACCAGCAAUGAGAGAGAGAGAGAGAGAGAGAGAGAGAGAGAGAGAGAGAGAGCUNNNNNNNNNNNNNNNNNNNNGAGAGAGAGAGAGAGAGCUCUGGAGAGAGAACAGAGGAGGAGAAGAGGAGAGAAGAGGAAAGAGUGGCAAGAGGAAGAGCAAGAGAGAGGGAGGAGGGAAAGAGGAGAGAUGAUUUCGGGGAUCCCGGUAGGUCGUGGUCGAGGCUUCGACCCCACGACUCUCUCGCUGCCUCUUGCCAACAAUAAAUUGGCUCCCGCCAAUCACUCGAUUUCCUUUCGUGCGUUACCAUCGCGUGGGGUUUCGUUAAGGCAGAUAGAAACCGACUCCUUCCAAAUAUAGAUUCGUAGCCAUCAGAUCAUGGUAAUAGAUUUAGAUAGAUCCUAAAAUCCUCAAAGUUUUAUUUUAAAGAGAAUCCCUAUCAGUUAUUAUAAUUUCCAUCCAAUUUUCCUCUUUCUUUCCUCGUCAAAGCUUCCUUUUUGAAUUUUUCAACUUUGUAUGAGACUUUUUUUUCUUUUACAACCGCUCUUAUUACAUCUCCCUUGAAUUGAAACAAUCCAUGCCCGUAGAUUCGUCUCUCUGUUUGUAGCAUAUAUUUCAACAUCUGCUGGUUAGGACUAUUGCAUCAUAACCGUCGAAUUUGAUUAAUCGAUAUAGUUAUUUUUUUAGUACGGCCAAUAAAAUUUGUGCAUACCAAGAGCUGCACAUCAACAAUAUUGUAGAGUUGUAUACACUACCUUUAACUUGGUUCCUUGGCCAAGUCAGGAUUGUAUUGUGACAAUUAAGUAGAACUGUAUAGUUACGAAGUGCAUCUAGCAUGGUUUUGUUGGUGAUGUGAAUCAUGUAUCACUCUCUCUUUGAGUAACAAUGGCAUCUCUCUAGAAGGCACAUUCUACAUGUAACUGGAGCACUUUAGUCUUACCAUAUUGAAUUUGCAUGAUAAAUCUAUUUGUAGUGCACUACACAAAGAUGAUGAUGCAUUUGAGACAAUAGAUUUAUUUAUUUUUUUGUUUGCUACAAUGAAUGGUUUAUAUAUUUUUAGUAUGGAUGCAUCUAAAAGUCAAAAAAAUCAUAAGUCUCGGAGCACUCGGAGUGAUCAGCUACAUACGAGGCUACCCAAUCCAUGACUCACUAACCUUUUUAUAAAUUUGCCACCUACUUAUUAGUAUUUAUAGAGGUUCAUGCAUUCUUGCUUUUGUUUUGUUUUGGUUUGCUACAUAUUAAGCUUGCUUACAAUGCGUGAUGGAUUUUUUAAAUGUUUGCACGAUGCAAGGAGAUAUUCUUUUCCACGUAUACCUAGAUUAUGUUGGACAAACACAAAAGGGAUAUGCGUUUCUACGGAAUGGGAGCAAUCAAUGCACCCUUUUCUUUUCUUUUCUUUCCUUUUGUAGAAUAUGAAAAAAGAAUGUAGAAGACAAAAAGGCAAUAUUAUUAUGCAUGGUUCUAAAGUAUAUAUUUUUUAAUAUACUUUAAAAAAUACUGCCUAUUAGGAGCUUGUUGUAUAUAUUAAUCUUAUUUGCAUUAAUUAAUUACCAUAAAUUUUAAUGUCUAUCAGGAUGGUACUAAAGGAAUAUCGGUGGUAUUCAGGGAACCUAAUUAACAAUAGAAUGGCAUUUACAUAAUUAAAAUGCGGGAGAAUGAUCAUGGCCUUGGAGUUGACCAGGAAGUGAAAAUGGGAAUGGUACAGAUUAUAUAUAUGAUUUUAAUACAGUGUUCCAUUAUCGUGAAUGCCUAAUAGAAAGCUAUCAAACUCACCAUGGAAAAAUAGUAAACACAUAUAGGACAUAAACACCAAAUGAAAGUACUCAACUUACUCUGUGAUGUUCUACAAAUAGAUGUGUGUUUUUGGCUAGUGAGGAUCCAGUGAACCUUCGCAUCGCUUCGUAGAAUAGACACAAUACAGCGGAAUAUAUAAUAUAUAUAUACUAAUUAUCAACCCAAGAUACUUGCAUAGAUCUCAAUUUUAACAAAUAUUUUAUGCAUAAGAUAAUUAUGCUGUCAUAUAUAUAUAUAUAUAUUAUAUAAAACAUAAUAUAAUCUUUUUCUGGUUGAUUUUUUUUGUGAGAAUAUCCCUUGACUAAUAGUUGUAUAACAAUUAUUGAUGAUCAGCAUUAUUCAAAACUUUACGAUCAAGUAAUUGGUGGAUCGUAGUUGUCAUCUUGUCGACCUUUAAAUGUUUCCACUCCUAAGAUCCGAUUGUCCUCUUUAGAGUUACUACAAUCUAGUGAACCUUAUUUUCCGAAUAAUCUUUUAGUUUGACAACCUUACAUGUCUUUCUAAUGACAUUCACAUUCCAUAUUAAAGGUCAUUUUUUUUAUCACCAUCAAUAAAUUAACUUAUUACGGCACUCUUAACAUGUUUUUACUCCAUUAGAACCUAAAUGGGAGUUCUUUCUCUUUGUUAGUAUUUUUUUGGUUCCAAAUAACUUUAGUAAAUUAUUCAAUAUGUACUUUUUUUGAAGGCUGGAUUCACCACUAACAUCUUUCACAUGAAAGAAGGAUUCACCUUCCAUCGUGCGAAUCCACUAUUGGAUCGCAUAAUGGUUGCUUCGAGAUGUAUGCAAACAUAUGAAUGAAGAAGUUUGGAGUACUUCGAAAUUUGCAUGAGGCUUGAUCCAAUGGUCAACGUCAAACCACACCCAUAGAGUCCUUAACAGUUUUUGCCCCUUGAUGUAUUAAGAGCCUUCCUUUUGGCAAUAAUUUUCUACAAGGCUAGUUGUCUGAAAUUCAUGCAAUUGGCUCAUAUUGUAAAUUUUGAUAGGCUGAAAAGAUUUUUCCUUCUUUUAAUUUAAAAUCACUCUUCUGUUCAUUAGAUGUGGGCAGGAGUAUCCCCAAGGCGAUAAUUUCAUGAUCAUCAAUAUGUGAUGCGCUUGACCAAAAAUAAUAGGUUAGAUAGACCUUAUACAAAUGUAUUAAACUGCACCAAAAAGAUUUACACAGCCACCAUCUGGGUACAACAUUAGCAAAAAUGAAAAUUAGUAUAUAUAGCAACUAUUAUUCUUGGUUUAUUAAUAUGUUAUAGAAAAUAUUUUUCAAAGUAACCAUGUAAAGUUAUAUGAUUUUAUCUAAGGGUUAAAUUAUUAACUCGCCAUUGAGAUUUGCAGCUAGGAUAAUGAAACCCACAGCCACUUCCUUAUCACUUUGUGGGAGAAUUAUGUUCUUACCUAUUUCCCAGAUCGUACUUUAACUUUGACUUGAUUUUUACCGCCCUCAUCGAGUGAAUCAACUUCCAAGGAUACCCGCUUGAAGUUGUGUUGACUGUGGAAUCUCCAUAAAUGCCUAAACUCUAUGAAAAUAAGAUAAUUCUACUAAAUUAUAGAAAUUUUAAUUCCACCAAACUAUAGAAUUAAACACUCCCAUCAAAAAUUUCCAUUCCUGAAUUCAUGUUAUUGGUGCAAAUGAACCUCCCACCUAAAGAUCCAUUUUUUUUUGUUAUAUAAAAAUCUUCUCUUUUUUUUUUUGGUAUAACGGCGGCUGACACACAAUGAGCGUGGAUGCGACUAGCAAAAUCAGAAAACAAAAAACUAUAUAAAGGUCCUGGUACAACCUCACUAUCCAUUCAUACAAAGUCUCCAGAGUAGUGAGCCAUAAAAGUCCUUCAAGGAUGAUGAUGUGAAGAAGAUAUAGUCACAAAGCAUGCUGAUGCACAUAACCACCCAAAAUCCCCUCCAAAUUGAUGGUUUGAAAUAAUCUAAUUAAACCCCUUGGCAGCAUUUCUACGUGCAUGUUAUUUUUCUUUUAGGAAAAAAAAAUAUCGAAAAGCCUUUUUUUUCCCUUAAUUUUCUAAUAAGGCACAAUGACCUUCAUAAAAUUAGAAAUGAAUGGUGAGGUUCCUUUACAAUGCAAUUGAUUUCGGCGAAGGGAUUUUUUUUUUUUUUUGACAUGAAAGGGAGGCAAAAACCAACCAUGAUUUAUUGAGAUAGAUGGAAGUAGAGGAUAAAUCUCUUAUGGGAAGGGAAUAUUUCUGAGGAAGGGAACAUCUAAAUGGCUUUUAGAUUGUAAACUUCCAAGAAUAAUAACCAAGCAUCAGGUUGGAACUUUCCCAUCUUUUUUUUCUUCUCUUUUUCUUUGAUCCUUUGGACUGUUUUUCUAACACUGACCGGCGGACCAAACUUAGCUGCCAAGAUAUCUUUGGAUCACCGAUAAUGACCAUAUAGAUUACUUAGUCAACUUAAUUUUUAUUUAAUAUUUUAGAGUUCUCCUACCUUUGUCAUCAUAGCUGUGAGGUUAAUACUUUUCUUAGGCUUUGACCGUUCCUAUUCGUCCCAUCGAUCCCACCCACUUCCGUAUUAAAAUUGAUUGGUAGCCUACGACUCACUAAAUUCCCCAAAUUCCUCGCGGUUGCAACUCAAGGAUGUGCUCGAUUCUACCAUGCAGCAAUAAAAAAUUGGUUGGAACCGUCAAUAUACGCGUCAAAGAUAUCAACCAUCAUGUCAUGAUAAAUCCACAAUGGCCCAGUCUAAAGUUAAACAUGGAGCAAGAAGAUUAGAUCGACUCAUUUUUGAAUGGGAAGCAAUCCAAAAUUAAUCUGGUCUAACCCAACUCAAGAUUAUUGUCAUUAGGAUUGGAAAAUACGAUCUGUUUCGAAUAUGAAUUAGAUUUGGAUCCUUAAAUUCUCAGUCCAAACCUAAAUUGUCGCAAACUGAUUCAAAACUACUAUAUUAUAUAUUUCAAAAUCCUUCUUGAACAUAUCUAUAUAUAUAUAAUAGUCUUUUUAUCAUGAUAUGAAAUAUCGGUAGCUUAUAAUGUUGACUAUAUUUUUUUAAAAAAAAUCUUUUGGCCUCUUCUUUUUUGAUGCACCACGAUAUAAUAAUCGCUCAUAUAUCUCUAGUAGCUAGUCGUCUAGAAAAUGCAUCACGUGAUCCACACAUGAUAAAUUAAAAAUAAUUUUUAUAUUAAAAUAUUGUCGUUACUUAAGAAAAGAGAAAAAGAAAAAGAUGAAGUUGCUGAUUGAAUAUUGAGUCUGUCCUACCAUCUUAACUUCUUCAUUCGUUACUGUAAUACUCUAUCUAUCACAUUGCAUUGUAUUAGAUAAAUUAUCCCCACCAUUAUCAAUAUCACCAUCACCAUCUGUUGGGGAAAAAAUGGAUUGCUCAAGACACAUGGAUAUAUCGUCGGCACGUGAUGGCGAGCACGACAGUGGCAACCCUUAAGGCGCCCGACCAAGAGACGCCCGACCUCAGCGCGCCCGACCACAGAGCUUGCAGCCUUAAUCUCGGUUAAGCUGAGCCCGAUCGACCUCAAGCUCAAAGGAGAUCCAGUCAAAGGACGAAGCAGACCCCUCCACUCCACUGAAAAUCAAGUCCCCCUCCUCCUUAUCCGGGGUCCAAUCUCGCGAUCUCCGCCCCAGCGACUAUCAACGAUUAAAUGCGCACGAUCUCAAUGGACCUCCAGCCAGCCCAAAAUCUCGGACCAUCCACGGCAACUCAUUAAGUCAUACGAUCACGUCCAAUCAUUACGGUAACUCAUUAAUUCACACAGUCACGUCACAGGUAACCCAUACACCCCUCUUAUAAAAAGGAGAGACUUCUUCCUUCUGGGGAGAGAUCUUUUUUUUCGUAACCUCUCUACUGGUUCCACCAAAAAAACCCCUCUGACUUAAGCAUCGGAGGGUCGGCGCCAGAACUCCCGACCAUCGGCUUCUUGCAGGUUCCCCGAAGAAAGCUGUCCACCGCCGCACCCCCUGCCGGAGCUCCUCCUUCUUAGUCCGCGGUUACCCCCGAGUCAAGUUUCCAGCAACACCAUCCAUGUCAAAACUAAUCAAACUGGCAAUCCAAACUUGCCUCCAUCCAACAAAUAAGGAAAUAACCAAGCAGUUGGCGAGCUAGUGUAAUUCUUUCCAGGCCGCCCAUAUGUACCGGGAGACGAAUAGGGCGGCCGACUAGGUGGCCACCUAUGCCGCUCAGCACACCGAGGAGAUCCUUUGGACACGGGAGUUGGAUGCUUCUUCACCCUUGAGCAGUUUUCUUUUUUUUAAUUGUGCUGGUUAUACUCAUGCGAAAUUAAUGUGAGUUGCCGAUGUACCAAAAAAAAAAACGAACAAGCAAAUAAUCAAACAAGAAAAUAUCACCAGUAGCAUCGCAUUGGCCUGUCGCGCUUGCAACAUUGCCACCUCACCCUGCAACAAAGGAUAUGAGCUCAAUCUCAUAGUUCUGGUGCUCCAUAGGGUGCUGACCAUAUCCUCAGCCUGGCAAGCAUGAUAUGAGGACAGUCAUAUAGCCAUCGAGUUGAUCGCAAACCAACUUAGAUUGAUGUCAUUUUGCUAGAAAAUCCAUUUUUCCAUUUAUUGAAUAAGGAUCAAAACCCUACUUCCUUGGUGGCCUCUAAUUUCUUGAUGUUGGAGAGCGAAGGUGGAAGAAGAGACCCUAGCAAGCUAGAAUCGAAAUGAAGAAAAGGAAGAGCAUAGAUUAUGGAAAUAGAGAGAUUAUUUUUACCGUAAUUUUUAUUAAGGGAUAUUUUAGUCUUUGAAUGAAGAGGUUGAUGGACGCCAGUGUCAUAGUACACCAAAAAAUGAAGAUCAGAAAUUAAAUUGUAACUUUUAUAAACAAAGAAGGGUCAUGCGAAAAUGAUAAAAAUUGAGGCGGUCAAAAAGUAUUUUUCAUUGUAACCAUGUGUGAUUAUUAAUUUAAUCCUAUGUAAAAUAUAUUUUCAAUAACGUUUAGAUGUGUUAACUAUUAUCUUAUUGCAUGACAUGUUUCCAAUAUGAUUAGAUACCUGAUAUUAUAUGUUUACUAUAACUAGUGUUUGAAUUAUUUUUGACUCGAUUUGAUCCAAAAAAUCCGAUAGACUGAUAACAUCAAUUAUAGAAUUCAUCCGAUUCGAUCUCUAAGAAAAUCAGAUUAAAUUUGUAAUUUUUUUUAUUCAAUGCGAAUAUGAAGUGAAUUUGGAUUGUGCCUAUCCUCGAUCCAGUCCCGAGAUAGAGACAAAGCAUAUACGAAAAUUGAAAUGGCUGAAAAGGAGAGCCAACUAUAGGCUAAUAAAUGUACCUCUUUUUUUUUUUUUUUGUAGAAAAAAGGGGAAGAGGGGGGAAGGGCAAGCCCACCCCGCAUAGCAGCCCCACACUGGGCCCCCACCCCGCCAGGAGCAUGUUCGAUGCGGGCAGAAUGACCGUUUGGUAUAGGCCCAGCUCACCAGACCCCAGCCAUAUUUUACUCAUACCCUCCCCACCCGUGGCCCCGGCUCAGUUACCCCACUGGGCCCUGGCACGAGUAUCCCGUGUGAGUACGUCACACCUGGCACCACCCAGGCUACCAGCCGACCAGUAGCACUUCCAGACCCCGUGUCCAGGCGCGGGGCAUCCGGUCCCCAGAUUUAAUCGACGCCCGUGCGUUUCGAACCUGGAACCACUUGGUUAGAAGCAAACGCCCCGUUCCAACUGGGCUACCAUCUUGGUGGUAAUGUACCUUCUUCUCGCAAUAGCUUUUUAGACUUGGUUGAUAUGAAUUGCGAGAUGAUGAUAGCUUAGCUGAAAAUGUGACUCAACGUGGAAAAAUUGUAAUAGUUGGGACAAAGAAAAUAGCUUUGUUUUACGAGCAUGGAAGACCCAUAGAUUUUUUUUUUUCUUCUCUCUUAUUUCAGAAGAGGGAUGGGAUUUCAUCGAGAAAAUGAAGGAAAUAUAAAUUAUCCUGGUAGGAGACAGGUAAAAGCAAAAUCUAUGCAUGAAAAGAUUCAAUACGAAAGAAGAGGUGAUUGAACUAAAAGGCAAAACCGUUCCCUAAAAGAACCAAUAUCUCCUAGGACCAGAAAAUAUAGAUAGAUGGCUGAGCCAAUGAGCCAUAAAAAAUGGGAUGCAAAGUAACUACUCUCCAAAUCUUAUUUUAAGUUACUCUUUGAUUAUUGUGUUUUAUGUUUGAAUGUAUAUAUAGUUUUUCCUUAAUAAACUAAAUGUUUGGCUGAAAUUAAGGGAAGGUUUGGUAAGCUGAAAGAAGAAAAUUGAGAAGGAAAUUAAGAAAGACAUGUACUGCCGUCUUCAACGGCAUGCCUAUCCUUUAAAAUAGGAUAUUGAAUUCUAAACAUAUGAUUUCGAGUAUCCUGAUCAUUUGGAGACUUAUUAAUCUCAAACUUUCCAAGUGAGAAGGAUUUUUCCUUGAACCAUUUAGGGCAUGUUCGGCUUCUUGGGAAACAUCUUGGGAAGCUAAAGAAUUUGUAAAAUCCAAAUUUUCUAACCUGUUUAGAUGGUGCCGAGGCUAUAAUAAAAUGGAAAUAAAUUUUCUAGAUAUGGCUAGAUUUGUUUUCUUUUCUAAACAAUUUUUCCUUUCCCAUGGUUUUGUAAACAACCAACAUAUCUUUACUUAUUCUCAAUAAGUUUUCCUUUGAAGGGAUAUUCUACAUAUUUGCAGUAUCACUGUAUAUUUCAUAGGAAACCAUGGAGGACAACAUAUGUUUUACUCCAUGACCUCAUUCAAAAUCAUGAGCGCUUUGGCUGCAUUUGGUUCGCGAUUAGAAUCGGAAUCGAAAUAUAUUGAAAUAAAAAUAGAAUGGCCAUAUUCCCUGAUGCAUUUGGUUUGUGAUUGGAAUCGAAAUUGGAUUGCAAUCAAAAAUUAAUUAAAUAGAGAGGCAUUUUUGAAAAAUUAAUUAAAUGGAGGAAUAUUUUUGAAAAAUUAUUUUUUUAGUAAUAUAGUCGGGAUUGGAUUUUGGAGGAUUAGGACAUUCUCAUUCCAAUGGGAAUAAGAUUGGAGGAUUAGAGGAUAGGGUUGGAGGAUUAGGGCAUACUCAUUCCCUCCUAAAACGAAGUAUUAGAGUCUAGCAUAUCUAACAUAUGGCUUCCAAAAGAAAGCGGACUUCAGUAUGUACACAUGCUAGGAUCAAGUAUAGAUAAAUUCACUAGAUAACUUAUAACAGCAUCCAAACAGCCUUUUAAUUCACUCCAAGGGUAUGUUUGGUUCACGAUUGGAAUUGGAAUAUGAGUGGAUUGAAAUGGAAAUUGGAGUAGCCAUAUUUUCUAAUAUACUUGGUUCUAGAAUUGAAACCAAAAUUGGAAUGACGAUUAGGGCAUUUUUGGAAUAUCAAUUAAAUGAAAAGCUAUUUUUGAAAAAUUAAUUUUUAAAACAAACAUGACGAAUUGAAAUUUGAAUAAUGGCAAGAAAAUAGGAGUUAGAUUUUGGAGGAUUGGAGCAUUUCCAUUCUCCCCUGGAAUGGGAAUGGAAAUAGACCCCCUAGAAUGAGAAUGGAAAUGGAACUUCCUCUAACCAAAUAGCUCGAGUGAGAGCCAUUGAUUUCCAUAUUUUCAUUUUAGAGGCCAACUCUCUCCAACCAAACAUAUUCUAAUUGUAAAUCCACACACAACUCCUAACUCUCUACAGAACCAACGGCUCGUAGAUGGGAAAAUAAAAGGCACUUCAGGUGCAACACCUAAGAGCAACAAGGAUGUUUACUUCGAGUUCUUAAAGAAGUCGAAGGAGUUCGUUUCAUUUUUUAUUUGUAAAUUUAUGAUAUCUACACUCUAAUAUAAGUAAAAAUACUGAAUAAGAUGAUUUAGUUCUAUCUCCACAUAAGACUAACUAAUAAUGAUGAUAAUAUUUUGGACUAUUGAAUCGAGUUUUAAAUUAAAUUCCUUUAUUUGAUCAAAGUUAUCUUAAGCUGGUCCUACAACAAUCAAAUUCAAGUCUCACCUACGAGUUUGGAGUGAACCACAAUCCUGAAUCAUUUAGCUUAGGUCAAAAUAGGUGAAGUCCAUUGCGCAAAUCCUGUUUGAAUGUCCGAGGGCGGCCCAGGUGUGGCGGCUAGUUGGAGUUGAUUGGUAUUUCCUAUAGAUGUUGACCCCUGUCAGAGCUUUCUUUGCUCAUCUGAAGGGUACCUUGCAAUGACCCACAACUUUUGCCUGGAGCAUUAGAACCGUCUAUGUUGCUUACCAUAUUUGGCUGAAUAGGAAUGUUAGAGUUUUGAGGAUAGAAGGUUGAAUCUAAGGAUUGUUGUUGACAAGGCGCUUCUCCAUGCAACCGAGAUCAUUUAGACUCAGAACGUUGUAGAAUUUGGGAUUGCAAGGGAUAUAUGGGUCUUCCAUUUAGCUCUCUCAGCGAUCCAGAUGAUUUUUAUCUCCUAGGAGCCCCCAUCCCUGAGCUUUCUUAAGGUAAACUUAGAUGGUAGUGUGUUUGAUGAUGGAAGAAGAGGCGGUGCUGGUUUUGUGAUUAGGAACCCUAACUCCAAAUUUAUGGUGGCCGGAGGUAGUCGAAUCUACGACACUUCUGUCCAUGGAGUUGAGCUAAGGGACGCUUCAAAACGCAUCACCCAUGCAAGGUUCACCUUGGGGGCAAAUCACAUUCAUCUCGAAGAGGAUUUAGCUACGGUGAUUAAGUGAAUCCAGGGCCAGUCUAGGGGCGACAAACACUUGCUAAUAUAGGAUAUUUGCUGGUUAUUGAGGGAUUGUGUUGCCUCCCGAGUUACCCAUAUAUACUCGGAGGCUAAUAGGGUAACUGAUUGAGUUGCUUCAUGUGAUGACCCGUGUGGGCGUGUAUUUAGUUUCAUAUUGGUUAUUCACUGGAUAAAUUUUGGGUACUUAUAUAGGAUCAAGAAACCUAAAUAAUACAUUUUGGCUAGCCUUUUUGGGUGAGAUGCUAGGUUGUAACAAAUGGUAUCACAACAGACUCAGCCUAUGGCCUAUGUGGAUUAGAGGACACUGCAGCACGAGUAUAUUUGCGUUGACCAUAAGUUGAUCGUAGUGUUUGUGAUUGGAUUUGAAUGGAUUUGGAUUCUUAGCCUAAGGAGGAUGUCAAAGCUUAAAUAGGGGAGUAUGUGAUGACCCAUGCCGGGGUGUGUUUAAUCUCAUAUUUGUUAUUUGUUGGUUCGAUCUUGAGUACUUAUACAGGAUCAGAAAACCUAAAUAAUACCUUUCGGCUAACCUUUUUAGGUGAGGUCAUGAGUUGUGACAUUUCAUAUGUAGCCAGCACUCCGGUGUCUUCAUGUAAACAGUUAUGAGACUUCCCCUCCCCCCCCCCCCCGUAUUCUCUUUUCUGACUUUCUUAGAUGUAUGCAUACUGGAAUUGUAUGAUUUAUCUAGUUUAUCAAAAAAAGAUAAAAGCUCUUGGUUGGUUGUAAUAUUAGAAGCAUGUGAAGUACAGUAAGGUAUUAAUCCACAACAUUAAGAUCCAAACAAGCUUAGGAAAAUGCUCUGAUGAAGAGACUGUGUGCACUAAGUUCAUCAGACAUGCGUCGGGAUGGUUUUUACCAACGCAUAAAAGCGUCGCUAAUGCCCAAUUUUAUUGUAGUGCUAUUGCUGGCUUGGCAAAUUCAAAUAUCCUCCAUGCAUCACACUAUUUCCAGUGAGUGACCUCCAAGUCCCCCUUACCACCUGAGGAUAGGAAUUUUUAACAUGAUCCAUAGUGAUCGACCAGUGAACCCCAUGGUUUCAGCUGAAGAAGACUCCACAUCCACUCCAAAGGCUGCACUUGGGAUCAGCAGGGUCAGGGACAGUGGAACCUUAUCCUAGGGUUCCAACGAGGUCAAAUCCUCACAAGUCAAAUCCACGGAUUUCUAUGGUAUGGAAUUAAGUUGGGUUUACCGUAACAGCCGCCAGUAUUAUCCAUUUCCAUGCAACGAGAACAAAUGGGUCCUUGGAGUAAGUUUGAACAACCAUCACUCACCGCCGGCUUCUCACGACUAGUUUUAGUAAAAGUGUAAAACCCCACAAGCCAGGCCACACGUUUCUUUCAAAUCCCAUGUACCGUUACAAGUUCUCUAUUUCCACUUCGUUAGCAUAUGCUUUACGUUACUACACAUCCUAGAAAUAACAUCAAGUAAAAUAAACCCAACCUUUUAAAACACUUCAAGACUGCAGCCAUUCAUUAAACGAUAGACAUGUCAAAAGACUAGUGUGGCUAAGCAUGUGGAGAGAGACAUCCAUGCUUCGGAAUAUUCGGACUAUGAUGAGUGAUGGUACAGUCUUUCAGGCUAAGCGUGUGCUCGGAAGGGCUAAUAGAACCGCAAACUGGAUAGGGCCAGAAAGUGAAGCUGCCUACAGCACUCCGAGAUUUGUUGUUUUUUGAUUUUUAUUGAGUGUAUCCAUAAACUAUAUAAACCAUCUGUUUUAGAAAGAAAAAAAAAUGACGACUAGUGUGCCUAUGAAGCUCAUACCUCAGCCUCUGAGUCCAUAGAAGCUAUGCUAAAGGUGUGUUCUAGUGGGAGAUCCAUUCAGUUUUCUUUUGGGUUGCCGAAGGUGAUUCAUAUGGUUCAUGCCCUUCUAAUGUUUUGCUAAUGGAAUCAACUGCAAGCAUGUUUUUGAGUUCUAGCACUUUUGCCUUCUAUAGUGUUAAAGAGUUAAAGAUGGAAAAAGAACCCUUCCACUAGGUAUCAACCAUGCAUGUUGCCAGUCUCGGUGCCCAAUGUGCAGCACUAUUUUGAGUCCCUGUCACCAGGAAAAUCCUAGGUAUGCCUUUUUCCUUCAAUAUUGUAAGAUGCUUUGCUCCACCAAUGGUUGAAGUCUGUUUAGGUAGGGAUCUUUUUACCACACACUCAAUUAACCACAUGAGAAGAAGAAGCAACUUCUGUGGUGGGAUGGCCUUACAAGUGAAGCAUGUGUACAGAAAGACCACUAGAGCAGCGAAUUGAGUGGCCUCGUAUGUGGCCAACCACUCCAGGGAUACUCUUUAGAUUGGGGAGAGAGAGUUGUCUGGUGCACUUCGGGACUUGUUAUUUUUUUGACUUUUUUGGCUGUAUCCAUACUCGUGUUGUAUGAUACAUCUGGUUUAGCCAAAAAAAAAAAAAGAAGAAGCGACUAGGAUCGAAGCAUCUUUUCCUUCUCUUUUAGAGAAAGCAGGUCACCUAGUCAGGCAAGUAAUUAGGUUGCAGAAACAUGGGAAGCCUUAAUACUCCUGCCACAAGCCCAUAAAUCCAGUCAUAUCUCAUGGUCACAUCCUCACUAGCUUCUUAUACUUAUUAUUGGUCGAAGUUAUACAUUGAUUCUUAGCUAACCAAGAAAACGAGGGGGGGAAAUUAUUGUAACUCAAGCAAAUUUAUGUAAUAUGUAGAGAUGGAUGACUAUGUUGGCCCAAGAAACUUCUGUAACAAUAGAUGCCUCGAAGCAUUUCCAAAAAAAUUAAGUGAUACUUCGAUUAAAUCAAAUUCAUAAAAUCACAACAAAGUCCAGAUUACAAGCACGAGAAAUUGGAAUACCAAGAGAGUGCCAUUAAUGAAUGCUACGAGUCACUUGAUAAGAAUAAAUGCCCUGAUUAUCUCCAAUGACUUAUCGGCUGUGAAGGGAUUAGACUUCCACAUAUUUGUUUGUGACAACAUUGGCUUCCCCUCAUGCAUGACUAAAAGAAAUCUCUGCCAUUAACACAAUGGCAGAAGAACUGAUGCCGCAUAUAAUCUCAUUAAUGGUGGAGAUGGAGAUUCGUAAGUGAUUUGUUUGUUUUUUUUUUUUUGAAAAUUUCAUAUAAAUAUAUUUGGCACUCAAAACAUCUAAUUAGUUAUAGUUAAAUAACCAACAAAAGCAAAACAUGUCAGUGAUUAAUAAUGAUGGAGUCAUGUUCAUAGAUGCCUUAGGAGCAUAUUCCAGCAUUUGCAAUCAUGGUAUUUGGUAAAUAAUGCAUAAUUUGCAAACAACUUGAGCACCACACGAGAUUGCACCUUGAAUUCAAUUUCCAACAUACUGAUCAAUGGAUCUUGCGCAUGGAUAUUACGACACAAUUCAGAUGGAAAUUUAAGUUGGCAUUCCCAACAUUCAGAACAGUGAAACAUCCCACUACUCUUACCAGUGUUUAAAACCAUAUCAUUAACCAUGUUUUUACUAAAGCUAUAACAAAGAAAGUUUGCUUGUAACAUUCCUUGGGAUCAAUUUUAGCACUGCGAUAGUAACCUGUGGUUUCCCGUAAAGAUUACUAGCAUAAGACCGAGAUCGAGCAGAAUUUUAUCUCUUAAAUUAACCUAUUAGCACAUUAAUAAUUCAUCCGACCAUUGUCAUAUUAUUCGAUGCAGGAGCUAAACAGGUCCUAAGGUAUCAUAAUUAGGUUUUCCUAGCCAGCAAACAGAUACAUGACACCAUCUUCAGGAAAAUAAUUAGCAAUCAGGCAGCACCAUCAAAUAUUCCAGUGCCCAUGCUUAACAAGGCCUUUUAAUUUUAUAAAUUCAGAGUUUGGAUGCAGAGAAACCUGCCUCACGUGUUGAUAGUUCCACGGAGGACUCAAAACCUACCACAAAGUACCAUAACAUUAGGCUCCAUCCAACGUCAAUAUAUAAAACCAAGCAUGCUAUGACAUUUUAAACUAGCACUAGCACUUAGUCUGGUUUUAGACUUUUAGUCCUUGGAAACAAAAAGUUCUACCUGCUGCGUUUGCAAGCAGCAAGCCAUCAGCCCAUGGCAUACUUCUGAGUCCAUGCUCUGGCUGUCUCCUCGUAACGGGAUCUCUGAUUCUUGUAAAUAUGGGCAAUCUCAGGGACAAGAGGGUCGUCUGGGUUCGGGUCAGUGAGAAGAGAGCAGAUGGAAAGGAGAACCUUUGAAAUGGUCAGAGCAGGGCUCCACUGUUCCUUGAGGAUGUCGAGGCAUAUGCUGCCAUUGGAGUUGAUGUUUGGGUGGUAAACCUGCUCAGAUAGAUGAAGGCCCAUCAUCCAUAUUUGUGAAAGCAGUUCAUAUUUCUUCAGAUAACAGGAAGCAGAUUUCAGUGAUCAAUCAGCAUACAUGUUGCUAAUUAUACAAAUAAUACAAAUGGAAGAAUUCUUUGAAGGCACAAAUUUAUUAGCCUGAUGUAGAUAUGUUGUAUCGGUAGGAACAAAAGAUGUAGUGACUGACUUGCAAGUUUUUUUAGUACAAGAGCAUAAUCAUCUAUACGAUUAAGAAAAUAUAAGCCACGACAGCAAAUCAGCAAUUUGAAUGUUCUAAAGUGGAAUGAGGCCAUCAUUUAUACAUUUUGGCAAAAAGAAUUAAUUCCUAAAAUACAUUAUAAUAUUCAAGGGUGGACCAAGAAAAUUCUUGGCUAAAACCUAGUAACAAGGAAAAUCAAGAUCAUCCAUGUCAUACUAGAGUAGUUCAAAGACGAACAAUAUUUAAAAGCAUGCAGAUCUAAUCAGCUCCAUGCUCCCUUGGAAAAUCACCUCAAAGAUAUAAUACUACAUUAAACAUUUAAAGGCCGUCUUCAGAAAAUCCUGUUUUAUGAACUAUUUUUAAUCUAGUAGGAAAAAGGAACUUUGUACAACCCAAACUGAAUGCUCUGUUCUCUCAGACAUGGAAGAGCUCAAAAAAGUAUAUGAAACUCUUGUUACAACAGAGAUCCAAAAUUAGACCCAAGAUGCAAGGCAUGUAGUUCUGUAUAAUAUGCUAGCAGAAGUAAAUACCUAAAAUGUGAAAUAUGAAAAGGGAAGCAUGCCUCUAGAGCAUUAGCAAGGUAAGCCUCCAGCACAUUAUUUACUUUUAUCAUUUUAUUUGGUAACUACCUGUAUGCAGAGCAUAAGAUUCCAAUAAAAACUAUCUUAAAUAAUAAAAUUCAACCACCGCCAACAAGUUCUAAAACUAAAUUAACUUAUUAAGAAAAAAGUCUUUAAUAAUUUUGAAUUUCACUAUUUGAUAUAAUAAAAAUUAGUACCAACGCCACCUCUAUCCCAUGCCAGUAGUUUCCUGAAUCAGAAAGCUAGCAAUAUAGUUUGCACUUCUAUAAUCUACUGAGAUUCCGAGGGAAAGCACAUGUACAAAUAAUAUCUGGAAUCAAGCAUCAUCUUUAGAAACAAAAAAUGUUAUGGAAAAUCAAAAAUGAUAUGAGGUUUUCUUACCUUAGUCUGAAAGUUGACCUUUGGAGGCUUAAAUGGAUAGUCAGGUGGGAAAUGAAUCAUAACAAAGAACACUCCUCCAGCAUAGGGGCUCUCUGCAGGACCCAUGAUUGUUGCUUGCCAGUGGAACAGAUCCUCCCCAGCAGGCCCUGCACUGCAUGAUGUUGGAGGAUCUCUUUGCAGAUCCUGAAGCUCCUUCUGAAUACGUUUGUUAGCCAUAAUGCCUCCUAAUUCAAAUAUAGGGAAUAACAACAAUAAGAAAUAACUUUCGAGGUUAUAACUACAGGGAUAAAACUGCAAACAUACACAGAAUUCCCAGUUCCAGUAUAUGACUCCAAGAACAAUGCUAGCUAGAAUAACACCACUCUCAUACAGAAAAGAUACACAGUGGAGAUGCGACUGUCAUGUCGCUAUUCCUGGCAUCCUGUAAGAUAUUGGGUACUGGUUGCCAGUGAAGGACAAAAUGAAAAGUUGUGCAUCAACCAUGCAAGUUUUCUGUAAGAGAUUUCUGUCUUAAUGAAGCAUUUCCAAUGAUGUCACAGUGAGUAAACACACAUGUUGCACAUCAGAAAUAAACCACAUCCAAAAGAAACCAUGACUGAAGCCAAUGAACAAUGAAUUAGAUCAGACUGUGUCUAAAUAGAAUAUAUAAUCAAUUCAUAACUAAAAGUGAUAAGUGUAUUUUUUUCUUUAAAAGAAAGUGUUGAUAUUAAACAGAAGCUCUGCCAUACAAAUUUUCUACUGAUACUUGGGAGAAGUUCACAAGAUAUACAGCAUAGGCGACCCGUAAUUGUUAACCAGUCUCUAAGGAUGACUGAAUAGUUAACAAUUUCCCUUCACGAUAAAUCUAAAUAAAAGAAUCAAAUAAAUAAAUAAAUACAAUCAUAAAAAGGAGGAAAGGGGGGAAAAUGAAUGAUGGUAGACUGUAGAUUGCCAAAACUUUAUCAAUUUUGAAACAAGGAAACUUCACUAGAUUUACUUAAGGACAGUCAGCCACAUAUGAUGAACACAUCAACUAAACCAUAUAGAAUGUCCUAAGAUAGCAAUAAUUAUUUCACAGACUACAAUCAUUUGUCAUGUCCAGAAUUAACAUGCAUUCUCCCCUUAAUUCAAGUGAGGAAGAGCCUCAGUGCCCCACCAAUAACCAGCCAUAAUAAUUUCGUAUAAAGAAGAAAGACCCCCAGGGUAACCACAUAACUUCCCUGAUCUACCCUAACUUAAAAUAUGGACCAAUAUGCCAAAUCAGUUAUUAUGGCACACUAAAUGGAACCAUUCAAACAAGCAUAAAUCAAUGAUUUUAUACAUAUUAACAACUCCUGAAAGCAGUAAGAUUCACAAAAACUCCACAGGAACUGAAUAUCAGCAAAUUCCCCCAAUUAUUCACUUUGGCUUGCCCUUCUCUGUCCAAUUUAACCUCUGAAAAUUGGUUUUAUAGACGAUUUAAUUAGACUGCCUCAUAAGGGAAGAGCAAGGCACCAACAAGGGUCUUGAAGUUGAAGCAUUAGAAACCUUUACCUAGUUGUCUUCUUCAGCAUAAAGCUAAUAUGGUGGCCUUGUGGAGGUACAUGUAUUGUGCCUUUCAAAAUGCAGACCACCCUACUCAUCAAUCAUUUGAGGUCAGCCCAAUACACAAUGGGUUGCAGAAUUACAAUCAAUGUAAUAACUUGAAGCCAGACCCUAUAAGAAGACAGGCCUAAAUCACGGACCUGAAUGAACUUCUAAAUGUUGCUAUCUAAUGCUGUUAAGAAAUCAGCCCUGAUGAUAUAUAUGGGAUGCAUAUAGUAAAAUAUGGGUGAUCAAAAAAUUUAAUGCAAAGGAAAUAACUAAACUAAUAUGUUCAUGCUGCUGAACUGCUGAGAUCAGAUAUUCUGGUGGUAAAAAAAUAAAAACUCUAACCAUAAAAUAUUCAAAGAUAAGCCCAAGAUAAAGACUACACCACAGUAAACAGAGGCCAUAGCGGUGUAACCCUGAUGGAUGUUAGAAAUGAAGUUUGAUCUGAUUCAUGUGCAAUCUUAGAGCUCUUCUCUCAGCUGCUAGCUUGAAACAUGCUCAGAUCAUUGUCAGAUCUGAUAAACACCAAUAAUAAUGCUGUUGUUUGUCAGCAAGAAAGUAACAAAAUUAAUGAAAGAGGAAGAGAAAGAGACAAAGAUACCAUAAGAAAAAGGAGAACAAUCUAAGAAAUCAGAAGAACAAGAGGAAGUUUACUACUUUAGUUAGGACUAGAACCUAAACAAGCAGGCCAAUAGAGCCUGAUAAUAGGCUUGAGGCCCUGUUUGGAAUUGCUAUUGGAAGUAGAACUUCAAGCAGUAGAAUUUUUAACAAAAAGUUGUUCGUUGUUUAAUAACUACAUUUCUAGAGUGUAGUGAAACUUAUACAUCUGUUUGGUAACUAAAUUGAAAAUGUACUUUUAGUAUGACGAAAUUAACAAUAAAGGGGACUACAUAGUAUUUUAUAUUAUAGUAUAAUAUAAAUAUAAUAUAGUAAUAUAUUAUUACAUAGUAUAAUAUUAUUAUAAUGUAAUAUAUUAUUAUAAUGUAAUAUAUUAUUAUAAUAUUAUGUAAUAUAAUAUUAUAAUAAUAUUAUGUGAUUAUAAUAUAAUAUAAUGUAAUGUAAUUAUGUGAUUUGUUCAGUGAUUUGUUUAUGGGCAUUUUGUUCCCUACAAAAUUUUAAUUAAAUGAAAAAUAACUUCCCAACAUCAGCCAAGUAGAGCUAUUGGAGAACCAAAAGGCACUUCUCUCUCUCUCUCNNNNNNNNNNNNNNNNNNNNCUCUCUCUCUCUCUCUCUCUCUCUCUCUCUCUCUCUCUCUCUCUCUCUUAACAAACACCACCUAUUCCCUGAAAGUACUUUCUACCUUCCAAAAAACACUUUCCAGCCCUCAAAAGAUGUUCCCAAUCAGGGCCAAAGUGAUUAUAACUUCUAACCUACUAACACCAUCUAAUGAGGAAAUAGCAUAAGACCAAGCAACACCUAAAACCCUGGCCAUAUUUUUGAAUAGUAAAGGCCAGACAUAACACCCCCUUUUAAUGGCCUUCUGCUGCUCCUAACUGCACCACCUAGCCAAGACCUCUCUGAUGCACUAGUAAUUUUAGCACCUCUUCACUAAUCUGCAGAUCCUCUCAAGUCAUGAGUUAGGCUUAGGGUUUUGAUAGUCAAGUAAUGGUUUAAGUUUUAUGUAGGCAAACAGAUGGAUCCCAAGCUCAUCUACCAGGUCAUAUUAGGAGAUUCUGAAGGUCUUGAUAAGCAUUAGGGUUUUCUAGGCAGAAGUUAAUGAGGGUUUCAAGCUUGAAAAACAAAUGAUGAUGGGUUUGGAAUCAAACAACAGCUGUACUGACAUGGAAAACAAACCACCUGCUGAUAACAGAUCCAUACUUAGCUGCAAUGGAUGGAGUGAUGUGAGCAACAGACCAGCUUGCUGAUCGAAGAUCUGUACUUAGUUGUAGACUAGUCACGAUUAGUAAGCUGAGGACUCUAUAAAGAGCUGAGUAUUGAGAUAGACAUGUUUAUAGACAAUUAAGAGAUUGAUUUGAGCAUCAGAAAGGCCCUAUAGGGGCUGCUUGAAGAGCAGAUCAAGCCAGUAUAAUCAAAUCUGAGCUAAGUUGGACCAGAAACCCUUAUUCAGACUGGUGGCUGCUUCCGAUAGUUGAGGCUAUAUACAUGUAGAACUUAAAGCAGAUUUACGCCGGUUGGGUGCAGAAAAGAGAAAAAGAAUAGAAAAUAUUCUAAGAAGGGGAGGAAGAAAGAAGACUUGCUCCAGACUCCCCAUCUUCAUAAAGCCCCUAAGUUGGUUCAAACUUGAAAUUAAUUUCCAAGGAAUCAAAACAUUAAAGAAAGUAAUAUGUAGCCUCUUCAUAACAAAUACAAAGGUCAACUCAUCCCAACAACUUUGUCAAUAUUCAUCCAACAUCUUUAAUAUGUCCCGAAAUCAUGGCAGACUCCAUGAGGACUACUACAGCUAAUUGAUAUGACCUGAAUAUGUGGUGGACUCUACAAGUCCUACUGCAGCAUAUUGACAUGCCCUAUCUCCCUUGGCAACCAUGACAUUCAAUAUGAACCUGCUAGCAUGGUCACUUUAUAGUCCAAUUUCAUGAUAUAGUCACCUGCAAUAAGACCUGUAUUACACCUACUAUUAACGACAAAAUGCAAUUUCCCCAGUUGCUUGGAACGGAAGAUCUAGUCAUCGAGCCUCUGUUGGUUUUGAUUCAACUGACACUGACAUAUUUUAAGCCAUCAAUCGACAUCCAUUUUCUACAUGCUAAGCCUGCUGCCCUUUACUUCAUUAUCAUCCCACCCAUCUUUCUUCAAAAUUCUGAAGAACUAGAAGUUCUUAGCACAGAUAAAAGCACAGAAUCCCAAUACGCUAUUAAGGACACCCACUUAUAACCAAAAGCUGAUCAUGCUUGAGUAAAUCUUUUCAAUUCCAUCACAACAAUAAUUACAAAGAAGGAACAGGCAAAAGAAUCCCAAAUCGCUAUACCCAGUACUCAUAAUAAUAUAUCACCAAAAUACAUAUAUAUUUGCAUCAAAAAUAGCCGAAUCUAACUUAGUCACGAAAUACAUAUAGAUUUAAGCAGAAAAAAAGUCUGAAUAAUAUAUAACACGAAGAGUUGGACAUCUGGAAUCAAAAGCCGACCCGAAUCACAAAAUCGACCGCUUAAAUCGAAGAUCGAAGG
rnacentral:lncRNA from 1 species